CCUCCGGCGCCGCCGAGCUGCGCCCGCUGCCUUCACACCCCGGACAUCCGCGCCACACGUGACACCUGCGGAGACAGCCCCCGUAAGGCUCCUGUUCCCGCCCCCUCCCGCCCCAGGGACCCAGACCCCAGGAGGCCUCACCCCACAGCAAGAGAAAGACCACGAGCAUGGACAUGAUGGUCGCGCUCACUCCGGUGCAGUGAGUGUCUGGGUGAUGGAUCCUAGAACCUGUUCUAGAAGGAGACGCUGAGUUCUCCCCACUCUACCUGGAGCUGCUGAGGUCAAGUGGAGAGUGCCGGGGCUGAAGCCCAGCGAGCCCCUCCCUGUCACACCACACUGCACAUGUGACACCAAAGGCAUUUAUUGAGCAUCUACUGUGUGCCAGAUGCAAAGAAGACAGUGGGAUAACUGGGCAAGGAGCAUUCCAGGCAGAGGGAACAGCCAGUGCAAACAUGGGAGAUGCGGGUGCAGUGAGAAGGAGCAGAGGAGACCAGGAGUUGAGGCGACUGCAGAGCGAUUGCAGAGCUCAUAGACGUGAUGAAGACCAGCUGGGCACUGCAGCGGCUCUGGCUUCUGCUGUGAGGGACGGGGAGCUGUGGAGACUCCCUCUGUUUGGUCCCAUUUCCAUAUUGCUGAGCACCUGCUGCAUGCUCUCUGUCCUGCUCAGAGCCAGUACCUGGAUGGAGGCUGUGUGUUCUGGGUGGACUGGGGG
rnacentral:lncRNA from 1 species